GCCUUUGCAUUGUGGUCUUCCGGCGCCUUACAUUUUGCAGCACACUUGUUCAUGCAGCAUAUCUUCGCUCUUCCACUGCCUACGCCAGUGAUAUUGUGGAUUAGAUCUACACAUUUUGACACGGAUGUCAACGCGCCACAGUCCGCCGCAUCAGGCCUCACGUUCGCAAUGCGACUGCAACAAUGUGCCGGCGUCCUCCUCCUCUGGAGGAGUCCGGUGACACGGCAGCUCUGGGGUGGAGAUGAAGCUGUCAGCGGUGCCCCCGCCUUCAGAUCCGCAGCAGCAGAAUUCGUAACGGCCACUGCGCAGACAAAAGGCGGUUUAUUAUACAGGUUCUCUGUGGUGUUUUAUUGCUCUCCCGUACGGCCAGACAGAGGACAGGAGAGGAGAACAGCUUCCCCUCUGGUUUACGAGGGGAGUCGCCUGGAGUAGAGGACACUUCAGCACAAGAUGCAGGGUGACGAUGGUGUGUGUUCUCUGUCUCUCCUCGGAUCCCCUUCCCCUUCUCCUGAGCCUGAAUGGUGUAAACAAUGAAACGCAGUGUGACUGUAAACCCGCAUAAAUGUUGUGCCAUAAAGCAUGUUCAGAUAACGCUCAUAGACAUUCAGCUGCUACAUUCUUGACCUUGGAGCUACAGUGGUAACUAGAAAAGCUAGUCUUAACUCAAGGUCAACUGUAUUGAAUUGGAGCCAACUCCGGUAACGACUGACCGAGCUGUUCUCACUGAAAUCCAUGAGAUGUGGUUAAAAAUAAAUGAAAAUACAUGGACAGAGAGAAGAGGAGAAAGGAGAGACGCUUUAGAAAUACCAAAGCACCAAGCACCAAACCUGACAGGUUUUGAGAACGCAAGCUAUCACGCUCCCGUCCCUGUCUCCUAGAAAUCACUUUUAUAUACAACUGCAACGGCAAAUAUGAUUCCUAGGAGACGUAAUCGCUCGCUAGUUCCGUUCAGAGGCAGCCCCUUUUUUCACAUUAAUGGAGCCACACAUUUAUUAACGGCAGCAGAGGAGCCCGGGGUGGAUUGAGGGCGUGCAGAGCGUACGACUGUCACAUCAGAGACCGGGGUUCAGAUCCAGAGCCCCAUCUGUGGUUAGGCUACGGCAACGAAAGCGCUUUGGUUAGAGAGAGACUGUCGUUCUGCAUUUUAUAACAUUAUUUGGAACUUGCUUUGAGAACUUGAAUUAACAGCCUAUCCUCAUCAGGUUAAUAGAAAGGUAAUCCAGUUGCAAAUACGUUCCCUACAAAACGUGUUUUCUAGAAGACAGGGUUGACACUCCAAACACACACGGGCGGUGUUUUUGUUUUGAGAGCUACAGGUAACACAAGCUGUUUAACUGGUUCGUAGCAAAUAAACACAGAUUUGAACACUGCAAACUGUCAAAUUUGUGCACAUCAGGCGCCAUGAAAAUUUGCUUCACGUUCAGUCUGAAUGAACGUCUAAGGAAGGACGUCAGGGCGGACAUUUUGGGGUAUUCCCUCCCAACAUCGGACACUGAUUUUUUUUUUUAACUUUCUUCAUUGAAUCAGUCGCGUAUGGGCCAUUUGGUAAUGCACUGGCAAGCGUACGGUAUGAGAAAAAUCAUUUUCAAAGCUGUUUUUGAUACGGAUCUUGUCAUUUGAAUCGGUGACAAACUUCUCCAUCUCUCUCUCACUCAAUCUGUCUCU